CAGCAGCCACGGGAAUACGUAGGGUGCGAGCGUUAAUCGGAAUUACUGGGCGUAAAGCGUGCGCAGGCGGUUAUAUAAGACAGAUGUGAAACCCCGGGCUCAACCUGGGACCUGCAUUUGUGACUGUAUAGCUAGAGUACGGUAGAGGGGGAUGGAAUUCCGCGUGUAGCAGUGAAAUGCGUAGAUAUGCGGAGGAACACCGAUGGCGAAGGCAAUCCCCUGGACCUGUACUGACGCUCAUGCACGAAAGCGUGGGGAGCAAACAGGAUUAGAUACCCGCGUAGUCCCUGUCUCUUAUACA
rnacentral:rRNA from 1 species